GACGAACGCUGGCGGCGUGCUUAACACAUGCAAGUCGAACGGAAAGGCUCCAGCUUGCUGGAGUACUCGAGUGGCGAACGGGUGAGUAACACGUGGGUGACCUGCCCUGCACUUCGGGAUAAGCCCGGGAAACUGGGUCUAAUACCGGAUAGGACCGCACUCUGGUGUGUGUGGUGGAAAGGUUUUUCUGGUGUGGGAUGAGCUCGCGGCCUAUCAGUUUGUUUGUGGGGUAAUGGCCUACCAAGACGGCGACGGGUAGCCGGCCUGAGAGGGUGGACGGUCACAUUGGGAAUGGGGAACGGGCCAGAAUCCUACGGGGAGCAGCAGGGGGGGAUAAUGGAACAUGGGGGGAACGCUGGAGGAGGGAAGGCGGGUGGGGGGAGAAGGGCUUCGGGUUGGAAACUCCUUUCGGUAGGGGCGAAGGUUUUUGUGACGGUAACGGGAGAAGAAGCACCGGCUAACUACGUG
rnacentral:rRNA from 1 species